AGGCCUCCUGACCCAGCUAGGGAUCAAACCGGGGACUACUGCUGGUUUAAAUAAACCAUGAUUUAAACACACUGUUGGAUUUGUCCAAAUUUAUUCAAAACAACGCAGCAACCCAGGGCCUCUUGACAUCCUAGCAAUAUACCUUAAUGUUUUAUUCAGGACAAGGCAAUAGAUAUCUUGUUCCAUGUUAGAUGAAUUUAAUAUAUGUCAAAUCUGAGGUACGUUCAAGAGCUUCGCUGUUAUUCAUUUCUUUCCAGUUGCUCCCAGAAUUCGAAACACCUCCAGUUGCUCUCUUUGGGGUGAUAAAUUGACCUGUGUGUGUGUCAGUGAUGGUAUUCCAUUGGCCGAUAUUUCCUGGCCACUUUUGGCUGUUGCCCCUGAUUUUUACAGUAUUUCUACUUCAAGAGAGGACUACAGUAUGAGUAACAUCUCCAUCUCUGGCUUCAGCCACCUCAACUCAACCGUCGAAUGUAUCAGUGUGAAUGAAUUGGGUGGGGAACAGAUGGAAAUCCCGGUGAACAGUUUCUCUGAAACUCACAAAGUAAGUGGGAGUUUGUCUACGCCUUGGAUAUUUUGUAUUAUUUUAGUUGUUUUUAAUGUCGUCAUCUUUGUGGCUAUGACGGUCCUUUACUUACGGAGGAGACGAGGAAAUAAGACACCAAAAGAUGACAAACAUGUCUAUAUGACUACAAUAAAGACAGAAGAAUCCCUGUAUGAGACUAUCAACACUUCAGAAAGAUCUUAGUGCUUUGUCUGACACUGCCGAAUGUGGAAUCUAUGUACAUAUAUAUCUAUGGUCUGAUAUCUAUGUGCGAUUAAGUGGAGGCGGGGACCAAUUUGCAUAUUCAUUCAUCUGCAUAGCCAAUACUAAAUGAGAAAAGGGUGUACAGUUACAUUUAAACUAUUAUAAAGCAAGUAGAAAUGACUGUCACAGGAAAAAUUUUUUUUACAUAUGCUGUUAUGAUGCUCAAAGAUGAGUUUUAAGUGAUGAUAUUGUUUUGUCUCAAGAUGUAAACAAUGUUUUUGUACGUUUCUUUUUGUUAGAAAAAACUAUAUAUAACUAGUCUAGUCCUGGCUUAAUCUAAACCCUAAACUCUUCUAACUAAUAUUAGCCCAAUGUUUUAUAUAUAAUAUAUUUUCUUUGUUGGUUAUGUUAAAGGAACUUAAAUUACUCUAUUACUAGUUUUAUGUUUAACUGUUUUUCCAUUUUGUCUAUUUUUCACUAUUAAAGGUGGUGUGUGUGAAUUUUAGUGGCAUCUAGUAAUGAGAAUGCAAAUUGCAGUCAACAGCUCACCCCUCAAUUUCAAAAUACAUACGGUAGCCACCACAGGACAAACAUGUCGCCGGUGAGAACGUAGGGACAAAAUGUGCUCUUUAGGACAGUUUGUCCAUUUAGGGCCACUGUAGAAACAUGACAGCGACUUUCAUGUAAGGAAACCUCUGGUGUAUGAAGAUAAAAACGGCUCAAUGUAAGAUAUAAAAA